rnacentral:tRNA from 1 species
GCGUCCGUAGCUCAGUGGAAGAGCAUCCGCCUCCGGAGCGGAAGGUCAGGGGUUCGAUGCCCCUCGGGCGCA